UACGAGAGGCCCAAACAUUAUUCGGAAUUACUGGGCUUAAAGAGUUCGUAGGCGGCAUGGAAAGUAGGGUGUGAAAUCCCUCGGCUCAACCGAGGAAUUGCGCUCUAAACUACUGUGCUUGAGGAAGCUAGAGGUGAGCGGAACUGAUGGUGGAGCGGUGAAAUGCGUUGAUAUCAGGAGGAACACCUGUGGUGUAGACAGCUUACUGGACCAUCACUGACGCUGAGGCACGAAAGCGUGGGUAGCAAACAGG
rnacentral:rRNA from 1 species